rnacentral:rRNA from 1 species
GGACUACCGGGGUAUCUAAUCCUGUUUGCUCCCCACGCUUUCGCGCCUGAGCGUCAGUACCGAGCCAGAUGGCCGCCUUCGCCACCGGUGUUCUUCCUAAUAUCUACGAAUUUCACCUCUACACUAGGAAUUCCGCCAUCCUCUCUCGGACUCAAGCGAUCCCGUUUCAAAGGCAAUUCCGAAGUUGAGCCUCGGGAUUUCACCUCUGACAAAGAUCACCGCCUACGCGCGCUUUACGCCCAGUAAUUCCGAACAACGCUAGCCCCCUUCGUAUUACCGCGGCUGCUGGCAC